rnacentral:lncRNA from 1 species
AAUGGUUAUGGGUAAUGUCUAUAAUGCCCUUACUAGUGAAAGAGAGAAGUCCAAAAUGCCCUUGUGCAUUAUUAAAGGAAGAAAUCAAUUAUUGGAGGGGAAAUUACCAUUUUGCCCUUUUGUCCACUUUAGUGCAUUAUUGGUGAAUUAUUUGUGCAUUAUUGUGUUACCAAUCACCACAAAUCCGGCCAUUCAAUCUAGAAUUCACUUAUGGACUGUAUUAUUAUCAUCAAUCAACCAUUACAUGAUUGCCUACAUGAUUUAUAUAGAUUGGAGAUAGAGAAAGUCCUCAUUAUACACUAAAAUUAUGCACAACACUUAGCUUCAUUCUCUCUAGACCAAACCUCCGAAAUUCUCUUACCCAUAAGCUCCUAAUCAAAGCCCAACCAUUACAAACAACAAAUCAGAAGCAU